GACGAACGCUGGCGGCGUGCUUAACACAUGCAAGUCGAACGGAAAGGCCCUGCUUUUGUGGGGUGCUCGAGUGGCGAACGGGUGAGUAACACGUGAGUAACCUGCCCUUGACUUUGGGAUAACUUCAGGAAACUGGGGCUAAUACCGGAUAGGAGCUCCUGCUGCAUGGUGGGGGUUGGAAAGUUUCGGCGGUUGGGGAUGGACUCGCGGCUUAUCAGCUUGUUGGUGGGGUAGUGGCUUACCAAGGCUUUGACGGGUAGCCGGCCUGAGAGGGUGACCGGCCACAUUGGGACUGAGAUACGGCCCAGACUCCUACGGGAGGCAGCAGUGGGGAAUAUUGCACGAUGGGCGGAAGCCUGAUGCAGCAACGCCGCGUGCUGGAUGACGGCCUUCGGGUUGUAAACCGCUUUCGCCUGUGACGAAGCGUGAGUGACGGUAAUGGGUAAAGAAGCACCGGCUAACUACGUG
rnacentral:rRNA from 1 species